rnacentral:rRNA from 1 species
UGGGGAAUCUUGCGCAAUGGACGAAAGUCUGACGCAGCAACGCCGCGUGAGUGAAGAAGGCCUUCGGGUUGUAAAGCUCUGUCGGAUGGGACGAAAAGCAUGUGAGUUAAUAGCUCAUGUGUGUGACGGUACCAUUAAAGGAAGCACCGGCUAACUCCGUGCCAGCAGCCGCGGUAAUACGGAGGGUGCAAGCGUUACUCGGAAUUAUUGGGCGUAAAGGGUAGGUAGGUGGUCUUAUUUGUUUGAGGUGAAAGCCUUGGGCUCAACCUGAGAAGUGCCUCAAAAACGGUAAGACUAGAGUUCUGGAGAGGGUCGUGGAAUUCCCAGUGUAGCGGUGAAAUGCGCAGAUAUUGGGAGGAACACCAGAGGCGAAGGCGGCGACCUGGACAUGAACUGACAC